UACGAAGGGGGCUAGCGUUGCUCGGAAUUACUGGGCGUAAAGGGCGCGUAGGCGGACAGUUUAGUCAGAGGUGAAAGCCCAGGGCUCAACCUUGGAAUUGCCUUUGAUACUGGCUGUCUUGAGUUCGGGAGAGGUGAGUGGAAUGCCGAGUGUAGAGGUGAAAUUCGUAGAUAUUCGGCGGAACACCAGUGGCGAAGGCGACUCACUGGCCCGAUACUGACGCUGAGGCGCGAAAGCGUGGGGAGCCAAACAGGG
rnacentral:rRNA from 1 species